UACAGGGGGUGCAAACGUUGCUCGGAAUCAUUGGGCGUAAAGCGCACGUAGGCGGUUCGUUAUGUCGGAUGUGAAAGCCCUUGGCUUAACCGAGGAAGUGCAUCCGAAACUGGCGAGCUAGAGUACUAAAGAGGAUCGCGGAAUUCCCGGUGUAGAGGUGAAAUUCGUAGAUAUCGGGAGGAACACCGGUGGCGAAGGCGGCGAUCUGGGUAGAUACUGACACUGAGGUGCGAAAGCGUGGGGAGCAAACAGG
rnacentral:rRNA from 1 species